AACAAUGCUCUGUGUAGAUCCGAAUCAGAAUAUCAACUGCAUUUGUCAUGAAAUGUGUUGUUUUUACAGCAGCACCACAAUCCAUACACAGUAAUAGAGUAAAUAUAUAUAUAUAGUAAACAGUAAAGUUAAAAAAGUAGAUAUUUUAAAAAUAGUGAUAAGGUGUUCAUGAGUUCAAUGCCCAUUCAGAAAUUGGUUGGUGGAGGAGAAGUUGUUCCAGAAAAUUCAUUGAGUGUGUGCAUUCACACUUUUGUACCUCCUUCCUGAUGGCAGCAAUGAGAACAAGGCAUUAACUGGGUGAUGGAAGUACUUAAUGACGAUCCUUUUUGAGGCAUCGCUCCUUGAAGCUACCCUGGAUACUACGGAGGCUAUUACCCAUGAUGGAGCUGACUAAGUUUACAACUCUGCAGUUUAUUUCAAUCCCAUGUAGUACCCCCCCCCCCCACGCCCCCACCAUACCAGAUGGCGAUACAGCCGGUUGGAAAGCCCUCUACCAUACACAUCUGUAGAUAUUUUUGUGUGCUUUAAAUAUUUUUCUUAAAAAAUGAAACGAUCACAGCCUAGAAUAACGAUUGAAAAAUUAGUAUCACUGUGGUUAAUAUUGCAUCGGAAGCGAUAAAAAAACUUAUCUUCAAACGUGAACUCUGAUAUUCAUCGCAGAUACUGCCUGACCUGCUGAAUACUUUCAGCAUUGUGGUGUGAGAUUUCCAGCGUCCGCUGUAUUUCAUUUGCUCAUUACCGCAGUGUCCGUGGAGCUGGUUCCGUGCGCUCCCACAAGCAUGGUCCGGCAGAACAUUCACCUUUGUGGGAUAGGGCAUGCGCUUUGAAGAAGCCGGGGGUUUUUGUUUGGUGGGUGGGAGCGCUAAUUGGCGCUGCCGCCGUGCGGCCGCUACCUCGCUGCUCUAGCCCGCUGCUUCGUGCGGGAGUCCGGCUUACAGAGUGGGAGGGCGAGGAGGCUAGGUUGCAGCUCUGCGACAAGACACCAGAUGCUAAAGCCUCCACAGAGCCCUGAUCUCAACAUCAUCGAGGCUGUCUGGGAUCACCUGGAGAGACAGACAUAGGUGAGACAGCCAAAGUCUGUAGAAGAACUGUGGCAAGUUCUCCAAGCCAGGGGGAGUGAUCCAAGUCUGUCACUACACCUCAUUCCGAGCUAAGUUUGUGAACAUGAUUCCAAAUCCAGGUGAGCUACUCCAGGGAUGAAGAGCAUGAUACAAAACACAAAAACUGUCGGGGAGACGUCCGAAUCACGAGGAAAGGUACAGUGUGGAAUUGGCCCCAUGAGCCGUACCGCCCAGCAACCCUCAAAUUAACCCUAACCUAAUCCCAGGACAACUCACAAUAACCAAAGAACCUACUGAGCACUACAUCUUGGACUGUGGAUGGAAACCAGAACACCUGGAGGGAACAGAUGCGGUCACGAGAACGUACAAACUUUCUUACAGAAGACGCCUGAAUUGAACUCCAAAGCCUCGAGCUUAACCACUACGCUACUGUGUUGAAGUGUUACUAACAAUAUAAAAACACAUAGAAGAGACAGGAAAAUUCUCAACACAACCUAACGUGAAGGUGCUGCUUGACCUGCUGACUUCCCUCAGCAGGGCGCUAAUCAAAAUUCCAGGAUCUGCUGUCUGUUAAUCUCUUAUGAUUGUUAUUAAUAUACAAAUGAAUAAUAUGUGAUAUGGGCUCUGUUGUAUGACAUAGGCAGUCAUGGUCCCAUGACCGUGGUUGUCUUUGGCAAAUGUUUCGACGGAAGUGGUUUGCCAUUGCUGCCUUCUGGGCAGUGUCUUCACAAGAUUGGUGACCCCAGCCGUCAUCAAUACUCUUCAGAGAUUUUCUGCCUGGCGUCGGUGGUCACAUAACCAGGACUUGUGAUCUGCACCAGCUGCUCAUAUGACCAUCCACCACCUGCUCCUGUAGCUUCACAUGACCCUGAUCAAGGGGCUGAGCGACUCAUCCAUGGGUAACCUGCAGGCUAGCAGAGUGAAGAGGCGUCUUACCCCUCCUUUGACAGAGACAGACCUCCAUCCCACUAUGUAUUCAUCUUGGUGACCUUUUUAAAAAAUGCACUAUAUUAAACCAUACCAAACUGGCAUUCCAAAUCACAUUACAUUUAAGCACAUCAAAAAAAACUUGUGCAUUUUGGGCAAUUUUAUCAUUUCAUGCUCCAUUGGGGAGUUCUGCCAAGAAAGGAAAUCCUGAAUAAUUAUAUGACAAGAUUUUUAAUCUAUGACUGAGAACUAAAACAUUUCACCUGCCAGGAAGAGCAAGAAAAUGAAUUGAUAGAAUCUGCAGAAUCUAAGUGGCAAAAAUUCACUUUGAUCCUUACAAAUUUUUCUUCUCGCGAUUUAUUAUGCUGUCAAAAUUUGAUCAGGUUAUCUAAUGUAGGGAGACCUUUUGCAAUAAUGUCAAGAGCAUUUGAACCUUUAUAUUGAGCAAUGAUACGGAUGUUGCUUCAUGUCAAGUGUUUGUUUCGAAGUACACCUGGAUAUGUGAUGAUCAGUCCUACAAUUUAAAUCCUGAGCACUUGGUCUCGCAGUUUACAGCUAUUAAGUGUUGGAUUUUUCACCUAUGAAAUAUUUGCAGAGUCUUUUCAGAAACAUUUUAAUAGAGUUCAUUUUUUCCCCUAACUGAAUGCCUGCUGUACGAGUCCAGGAUGAUGAGUCAAGUUAUUCCUACUAACAAGCCAUCGAUAUAUUCAUCAAGAAUACUUGCAAAGCAAUUUCUCCAAAGUGCACCCUAAUGAUCAAUAUACCACCAGAGAUUAAUCUUCCAAGUAAGUUUGUUCCAGGGCAAACUACGUGUUGCAGCCACGACCAUCAGGAUACCAGUGGCAGUAAAUAUUACUUAUGUUUGCAGUAUUUCCAGGAUGGAAAUGUUGGAAUUAUUUCUCAAUUUACAUACAUUACAGAAACCACAGAUUCUCCAGCAGAGAACUGAUUUCAUCAAAUUUGCACAUACAGUGGAAGAAAUGGAUUUGUCAUAAUUAUAGGCACGCCAGGAUACAUGAAGCCAUAAGACCAUAGGAACAGAAUUAGACCAUCUGGCCCAUCGAGUUUGCUCUGCCAUUCAAUCAUGGCUGAUUUUUUUUUCUCUACUCCUCGACCCCAGUUCCCGGCCUCCUCCCUGUAACCUUUGAUGCCAUGUCCAAUCAAGAAUCUAUCAAUCUCAUCCUUAAAUACACCCAACAACCUAGACUCUGCAGUUGCACGUGGAAACAAAUUCCACAACUUCACCACCCUUUGGCUAAACAAAUCUCUCCACAUCUCUAUUUUGAAAGGGCACCCCUCUAUCCUGAGGCUGUGCCCUCUUGUCCUAGACUCUCCCACCAUGGGAAACAUCCUUUCCACAUCUACUGUCUGGCUUUUCAACAAGUUUCAAUGAGAUUCCCCCUCAUCCCUCUGAAUUCCAGCAAGUACAGGGACCCUGAGCCAUCAAAUGUUCCUCAUAUGACAACCCUUUCAUUCCUGGAAUCAUCCUUGUGAACCUCCUCUGGACCCUCUCCAAUGCCAGCACAUCUUUUCUAAGAUGAGGGGCCCAGAACUGUUCACAAUACUCAAGGUGAGGCCUCACCAGUGCCUUAUAAAGAAUCAGCAUCACAUCCCUGCUCUUGUAUUCUAGACCACUUGAAAUGAAUGCUAACAUGGCAUUUGCCUUCCUCACCACCAACUUAAUCUGACAGUUAACCUUCAGGGUGUUCUCCACAAGGAUUCCCAAGAUCCUUUGGAUUUCAGAUUUUCUGCCCAUUUAGGAAAUAGUCCACACAUUUAUUUCUACUACCAAAGUCAUGCAUUUUCCAACAUUGCAUUUCAUUUGCCACUUUCUCGCUCAUUCUCCUAAUCUGUCCAAGUCUUUCUGCAUCCUACCUGUUUCCUCAACACUAUCUGCCCUUCCACCAAUCUUCAUAUCAUCUGAAAACUUGGCAACAAAGCCACCUAUUCCAUCAUCCAAAUUAUUUACGUACAGCAUAAAAAGUAGUGGUCCCAACACCGACCCCUGCUGAACACCACUAGUCACUGGCAGCCUACCAGAAAAGGGUCCUUUUCUUCCCACUCGCUGCCUCCUACCCAUCAGCCAAUGUUAGGAACAUCCUGUAAUACCAAUGUAAAAGCCAAUGGCAUUCAUCUUGCUUGUUCCUCAUUUGAAAUCCUGGAGCAUUCAGGAGUCAUAGGACUUCAUUCCCUGAAUGACUGUGACCACAUGCAGAGGUUUAAAAGCCAUUGCCAAACAUCUACUGAAAUGUUAGGUUUCACAUUCCUCUGUGCCCACAAAGUUCAAAAUCCACACCAGACCAAAGGGGAGUUCUUUGGAAACAGGGGCCUCCCUCUGACUGCCUGCUGUCUCCAUGACGAAGCCCACACAGUGGAGAAUACUCACUUGAUUUGAUUCAUGUAUCUUCUUCUGGUUUGUUUCCAGUACUGGAAUUAGUCUGGAAUUUAUAGAAGGAAGCGUCUCCAAAUUCUUGUUUGCAUUUUGAUCUCUAACGUGUAUGACAAUAGAACAGCGCAGCUUGGAACAUGACCUUUGGCCCACGGUAUCAGUGCCAAACGCGAGUUCAGUCCUUCCCAGUUCAAAGUGAAUUUAAUAUCAAAGUACACCUAUGUCACCAUAAGUUUCAUGUACUUGUAGGCACAUUCAAUAAUUCUAUAGAAUAACAACCACAACAAAAUCAGUGAAAGACCACAACAUGUGCAUUCAACCAGUAUGCAGAAGAUAACAAACUCUACAAUACAAAUAACAAUAGUAAAUAAACAAGAAAUAAACAUGGAGGACAUGAGAUGAAGAGUCCUUGAAAGUGAAUCCAUCGGUUGUGGAAACAGUUUAGUGAUGGGGAAGUAUAGUUGAGUGAAGUUAUCCCUUUGGUACAAGAGCCUGAUGUUUGAAGGGUAGUAACUGUUCUUAAACCCACUGGUAUGAGUCCUGAGGCUCUUGUACCUUAUUCCUGAUGGCGAAAGUGAGAAGAGAGCACGUCCUGGGUGUUCGGGGUCCCUGAUGAUUGUUGCUGCUUUUCUGCGACAGUGUUUCACAGAGAGUCCUCAAUAGUUGGGAAGGCUUUACCUAUGAUGGACUGGGCUGUAUCCAGUACUUUCUGUAGUAUUUUCCAUUCAAGACUUGCCAUAUCAGGCUGUGUUGCAGCCAGUCAGUAUACUCUCCACUACACAUUAAGAGAAGUUUAUCAAAGAUUUAGAUGUCAUCAGAAGUGGGGGAUCUGGUGAUGACAUUAAUGGGCAUCAAAGGUAAAGUUUGCAAUAGUUAGAAUCAUGCUAUGCACAAAAUGGAAAAUGGCUGUGCUUGUUAGAAGUCAGUCAUCCAGCAUGGGAGGAUGAGUAAGAAGCGAGGAGAUCUUGGGAAAUAGUUUUCAACUAAGCAUAGUACAGCUACUCAGACAAUGAUCUAAUAAACAAAUAUCCGCCAUGGUAGUGUAGUAGUUAGCACAAUACUUUACAGUACCAGUGACCCGGGUUCAAUUCCCACCCUGCCUGUAAGCAGUUUGUAUGCUCUCUUCUUGACCACAUGGCUUUUCUUUGGGCAUUCUGGCUUCCUCCUACAGUCCAAAUUUCUUUCUCCAGAGGGUGGUGAAUCUGUGGAAUUCUUUUCCACACAUGGCUGUCACUUGGUUAUUUAAGGUGGUUGACAGGUUUUGAUUAA